rnacentral:rRNA from 1 species
GAUGAACGCUGGCGGCGUGCUUAACACAUGCCAGUCGAACGAGAAGUGAAGACGGAAACCUUCGGGCGGAAGGCUUUAUUUCGAGUGGCGGACGGGUGAGUAACGCGUGGGUAACCUGCCUCAUACAGGGGGAUAACAGUUGGAAACGACUGUUAAUACCGCAUCAGACCACAGCACCGCAUGGUGCGGGGGUAAAAACUCCGGUGGUAUGAGAUGGACCCGCGUUCGAUUAGCCAGUUGGCGGGGUAACGGCCCACCAACGCGACGAUCGAUAGCCGAUCUGAGAGGAUGACCCGCCACAUUGGGACUGAGACACGGCCCAAACUCCUACGGGGGGCAGCAGUGGGGAAUAUUGCGCAAUGGGGGAAACCCUGAUGCAGCGACGCCGCGUGAGUGAAGAAGUAUUUCGGUAUGUAAAGCUCUAUCAGCAGGGAAGAAAAUGACGGUACCUGAGUAAGAAGCCCCGGCUAACUACGUG